UUUUUCUCCUUCUCCCUCGCGACGGCGCCCUCUCCCUCGGCGGAAACGAAGAAGAAGCUAGGUUUUUGGGUCUCCGGCGCCGGCGAAGCUUUCUUCCGGCCAGCCCUCACCCGUGGGUGGUCAUCCCGACAGAGAAGAGCUCGCGGGCACAAGAGGAAGCCAGAAAAUCUGCAAACCCGAGCCCUCCGAAAACCCUAAGAGCCUUCUCCUUCCUCCUCCUCGGUUGUAAGUCCAAGAACCGGCUAUAAAGGAAAAGCUAAGAUAUGAAGGGAGGCGAUAGGGUGGUGGUGAUGAUGGAUGUGUGUGGUGGCUGGACUAUGGAGAGAUCCAGAAUGAGCUGGCAAAUUGCCAAGACUUUUCUGUUUAGUUCUUUUAGUUCUCUUUUAAGUGUUAUUAUGGGUUGAGACUGUAAAUAAGUUUAUUCCGCAUUUGUAAUUAGUUUUCUUUUAUUAUGAGUUGGAGUAGUAUAGUUGUUGCUA